rnacentral:lncRNA from 1 species
AAAAGUAACAAUGAACAUGUAACAACAACAAUAAUAAUACCAUAAGAAAAAAUGUGUUUCAUUGUGAUUACCAAUGUUGGAAGGGAUAUUACAAUCGGCCAGAUUAACUUCUCUUCGAUCUUUGAUUAAACUCCAUUACAAUCUCCACAUGUUCCAACCACAUAAUGUUUGAUAAAUGAAUCACCGCGUACAUGUGGUUUACAUCUCACUGUCACCUACAAAUUACCCUUUUAACGACCAUUCAUAAAUAGAGUAGAUCUCAUUAUUUUUUCUAGUAUAAUUUUGUUGAGGUAACCUAAAAUGCUUCUCCAUUUAUGCUUGAUUUCUUUUUUGUUUUAGGAAUUUAUCCAUAUACGAUGAACCUGUAAAUCUCUGCCAUAGAUCAAAACUUUUUGUGUAUUUCCAAAUGAUAGUAUUUCUAUUUGUCAAUAAUUAUUACAUGUUAGUUUCGUCACAAUCUAAUCAAAUAUGCAUUGAAAGAAAUUCAAGAGCAAAGAAGAGUUGCACAGUAAAGUAUUACAUUUAUCAAAUUCAGUAAUUAUAUUUUUCUGAGUAAAGUGAAAGACAUUCGUAGUUAUUCUCAAUUACAAAAACAAAUCUUAAAUCUUAUUCAAAUAGGAGAGAAGGAAACAAACAAUCAAAGAAGGUAAUGUUGAUAAGCAAUGAACUUAUAUUAUUUAAAAGCAAAUGAAUGGUAGACUUAUAUAAUAGAUUCGUCAACAGUCCAGCUUUACGAGACUUAUUAAUGAUGAUCCAGUUUUGACUUCUCUGUUCAAAUGUAUGUGUAUGCAGGUAAUGCGUUUUUUCUGGUAUCAUCUCUACCACCUUAUUCUUUCCCUUCAUAUUCUACAAUCAAAACAAGUUGUGUUUAUGGAAUUCAAAUUUAUUCAAAAGAUCCAUUCUCAAAGGUAAUUUUACCUGGAUGGAGUGGAGACCGUCAACAUUUUGUACAUCUCAUGGUACACAAGAUAUUGGAGAUACCAUGAGUGUGUUGCCUUCACCUUCCUUGAUAAAUUCCUUUUGUAACUGCUAGAAAUUGGACAACACAACAACUUCAUCAAUUUUAGUUGCAUAUUUGGAAAAAUAUCAACACUUGGAAUGUUUAUCUAUAGAAGUGAAUGUUUUGAUAGUAGUUCAGUUCAAAAUAUGUUGCUUUUAAUUAUGUUCCUAGGUACUAAGUUGUUGAUGUUGUCCAUCUCUUAACAUGUUAGCCACUAGGGUAUUAACUCUUGUGAUUAAUGAAUGUGACAUUUGAUGAAUGGGUAUAAAUAAAUAGCUC